rnacentral:rRNA from 1 species
UACGUAGGUGGCAAGCGUUAUCCGGAAUACUGGGCGUAAAGCGCACGCAGGCGGUCUUUUAAGUUUGACGUGAAGCUCCCGGCUUAACUGGGAGAGGUCGUUGAAUACUGGAAGACUUGAGGCAAUGAGAGGGGUGUAGAAUUCCCGGUGUAGUGGUGGAAUGCGUAGAUAUCGGGGGGAAUACCAGUGGCGAAAGCGGCACCCUAGCGUUAGCCUGACGCUCAUGUGCGAAAGCGUGGGGAGCGAACGGG